rnacentral:rRNA from 1 species
AGAGUUUGAUCCUGGCUCAGGAUAAACGCUGGCGGCGUGCCUUAUACAUGCAAGUCGAGUGGGUUUAGACCCACGGCGAACGGGUGAGUAACGCGUAGGUACUUUCUUUUGGUGGAGCAUAACCAGCCGAAAGGUUGAACAAUUCUCCAUGUGAUCGCAAGAUUAAAGUCGUAAGACGCCAAAAGUGAGGCCUGCGUCCUAUCAGCUAGUUGGUGAGGUAAAAGCUCACCAAGGCUAUGACGGGUAGCUGGUCUGAGAGGAUGAUCAGCCACAUGGGCACUGAGACACGGGCCCAACUCCUACGGGAGGCAGCAGUAGGGAAUAUUGCACAAUGGGCGAAAGCCUGAUGCAGCGACGCCGCGUGCGGGAUGAAGGCCUUCGGGUUGUAAACCGCUUUUAUGGGGGAAGAAUUUUGACGGUACCCCAUGAAUAAGAGGUUGCUAACUCUGUGCCAGCAGCAGCGGUAAUACAGAGACCUCAAGCGUUAUCCGGAUUCAUUGGGCGUAAAGCGUGCCGAUUGGCGGUUUUGAAAGUGCUUGGUAAAAUCCGGGGGCUCAACCCCCGGUUCGCCGGGCAUACUACAAGACUAGAGGGGCAAAGAGGUGCUUGGAACGAACGGUGUAGCAGUGAAAUGCGUUGAUAUCGUUCGGAACACCGAUAGCGAAGGCAAAGCACUGGGUGCCACCUGACGCUGCUAGGACGAAAGCGUGGGGAGCGAAUGGGAUUAGAUACCCCAGUAGUCCACGCUGUAAACGAUGAUGACUAGGCAUGAGGGAGUAUCGACCCUCUUUCGUGCCGAAGCUAACGCGUUAAGUCAUCCGCCUGGGAAGUACGGUCGCAAGACUAAAACUCAAAGGAAUUGACGGGGACCCGCACAAGCGGUG